rnacentral:lncRNA from 1 species
GUUGGAGACUCUCUGCUGAGGGGGACGGAGACACCCAUCUGUCGCCCUGACCGUUCAUCCCGGGAGGUAUGCUGCCUGCCAGGGGCCCGUAUCCGAGAUGUUACAGAGGCAUUGUCGAGGAUUAUCCGGCCUUCUGACUACUACCCCAUGCUACUCAUCCAUGUGGGCACAAAUGAUACUGCGAGGUGUGACACUGAGCAGAUCAAGAGUGACUACAGGGCUCUGGGAGUACGGGUUAAGGAGUUUGGAGCGCAGGUGGUAUUCUCUUCGAUUCUUCCUGUCGAAGGUAGGGGUCCGGGCAGAGACAGAUGCAUCGUGGAGGUGAAUGCCUGGCUGCGAAGAUGGUGUCGCCAGGAGGGCUUUGGCUUCCUCGACCACGGGAUGCUAUUUGAGGAAGGACUGCUAGGAACAGAUGGCGUUCACCUUUCGAAGCGGGGAAAGGCCUUAUUUGCGCACAGACUGGCUAACCUAGUAAGGAGGGCUUUAAACUAGGUUCGACGGGGACAGGUGAGCAAAGCCCACAGGUAAGUGGGGAACAAGACCUGGGAGAUGGGUUGGAAACAGGAGGGAGCACGGGCUAUAAUGGCAGAGAGGAAGGAGGGUCAGGGCAAAGCUGGGAGGCAAGAUCAAACCAGUAUCUUAGAUGCCUUUAUACAAAUGCAAGAAGUAUGGGUAAUAAGCAGGAAGAACUGGAAGUGCUAAUAAAUAAAUACAACUAUGACAUUAUUGGCAUUACUGAAACUUGGUGGGAUAAUACACACGACUGGAAUGUUGGUGUGGAUGGGUAUAGUUUGCUCAGGAAGGAUAGACAGGGGAAAAAGGGAGGAGGUGUUGCCUUAUAUAUUAAAAAUGUACACACUUGGACUGAGGUGGAGAUGGACAUAGGAGACGGAAGGGUGGAGAGUCUCUGGGUUAGGCUAAAAGGGGUAAAAAACACAGGUGAUGUCGUGCUGGGAGUCUACUACAGGCCACCUAAUCAGGCGGAAGAGGUGGAUGAGGCUUUUUUCAAACAACUAACAAAAUCAUCCAAAGCCCAAGAUUUGGUGGUGAUGGGGGACUUCAACUAUCCAGAUAUAUGUUGGGAAAAUAACACCGCGGGGCACAGACUAUCCAAUAAGUUCCUGGACUGCAUUGCAGACAACUUUUUAUUUCAGAAAGUUGAAAAAGCUACUAGGGGGGAAGCUGUUCUAGACUUGAUUUUAACCAAUAGGGAGGAACUUGUUGAGAAUUUGAAAGUAGAAGGAAGCUUGGGUGAAAGUGAUCAUGAAAUCAUAGAAUUUGCAAUUCUAAGGAAGGGUAGAAAGGAGUACAGCAGAAUAGAGACAAUGGAUUUCAGGAAGGCGGAUUUUGGUAAGCUCAGAGAGCUGAUAGGCAAGGUCCCAUGGGAAUUAAGACUGAGGGGAAAAACAACUGAGGAAAGUUGGCAGUUUUUCAAAGGGACGCUAUUAAGGGCCCAAAAGCAAGUUAUUCCGAUGGUUAGGAAAGAUAGAAAAUGUGGCAAAAGACCACCUUGGCUUACCCUUGAGAUCUUGCGUGACCUACAAAAUAAAAAGGCGUCAUAUAAAAAAUGGAAACUAGGUCAGAUCACGAAGGAUGAAUAUAGGCAAAUAACACAGGAAUGCAGAGGCAAGAUUAGAAAAGCAAAGGCACAAAAUGAACUCAAACUAGCUAUGGGAAUAAAGGGAAACAAGAAGACUUUUUAUCAAUACAUUAGAAGCAAGAGGAAGACUAAGGACAGGGUAGGCCCACUGCUCAAUGAGGAGGGGGUAACAGUAACGGGAGACUUGGAAAUGGCAGAGAUGCUUAAUGACUUCUUUGUUUCGGUCUUCACUGAGAAGUCUGAAGGAAUGUCUAGUAUAGUGAAUGCUUACGGGAAGAGGGUAGGUUUAGAAGAGAAAAUAAGGAAAGAGCAAGUAAAAAAUCACUUAGAAAAGUUAGAUGCCUGCAAGUCACCAGGGCCUGAUGAAAUGCAUCCUAGAAUACUCAAGGAGUUAAUAGAAG